UUGGUACGCCUCUACAUGUUACCCCUGGUUCUGAGCUAGGUGCUAGUAAUUCAUAUGGUAAGACCCCUGCGCCACAUCGGUUCCUAAAGUUAGGAUCCCUAUUCCUUCUGUCAAUCUCCUUCUCUAUCUGUCUUAUCUUCGCUGAGAACUCAUAAAAUGAUUCAACUAUUUCAGCAUCACCGGACCAUAUCGAUGGUUGUUGUCGUUCACCAAGGUAUUCCUCGUCCGGUGAGUGCGUCGACAAGGUGUCUACCACAGCCAUAUACUUUGUUGCUUGUAACAGACUAGGCAAUGCUGACAGGAAAUACUUUUGUGGAUCAGCUACAAAACUUGCAUAUUCAGUGUCAUUUUCUUCUGGGACUAAUCUUCUCAUUAGAGGUGGUCUGUUAGGCACAUAGCCCCCAUAAGGAUACUG
rnacentral:misc_RNA from 1 species